CCAGCUUCCCCUUUCACUGAAGUCCCUGCAGUCAGGAGCAGUCAGGACCUUGCACCCAGUUGCUGUGGGUGCUGGGCCGACCCAAUCCUUUCUCUUGUGUGAUCCAUGGACUCGCAGCAUUGCGUCACCUGUGAGCUUUUGGAAUUGAAGACUUCCAGGGCUCACCCGGGAGGACCUGCUGGGCCAGAAUCUGCAUUUUAACAAGAUGCCCAGCUCUCAGAGAAAGGAAAUGAAGCAGUGAAAGCAUCCUCCCAAAAGGGACUUUUAAAUCCUUCUACCUGGGCUGAACUACAGAGAAAAGGAAGCUAUUCUCACAGAAAGAUCUAUGGGAUCACAGAGUGGAGGGGACCUGAGCCCCAUGUCAUGGGACAAGCCCUGGGAAGAUGGCACCAUUCCCAAGACACAUGAGUUCUAUCGUUUGCCACCAUUUCCACUGCCUGGACCAAAGUAGAUGCUCAAAGAGUAUUCCCCGAGUGAAAGGAGGAAUACAGCAUCGGCCCUCUCAAAGAACUCUCCAGGAAGACUUUCCUUCAUCAGCAGCAGGGAAAGCUAAUGAGGGUCAUAUCAUCCUGCCUCCCAGGUGAGGUCUGAGAUGUCUGCACUGUGCACCUCCGCAGGCACGUGGUGGGUACCACCGGCUUGGCUUUGCAGAGAUACCAUGUGCCCCAGGGAGAAUCUGGGCAGUGAAGUCAGCUCUCUGUCUUAGGGAGUCUCUCCCAGAAGGGCUGUUGUGCCAGGGGGAUUGGACUCUGCCGGCUUUGUUUCCUGCUUAGGACCACCAAGCUCGUGGUACCCCCAGGACUCUUGGAAUCCUGUCUAGGCAGCUUGGAGGGCUGUCUACGUGGCUUCUUGGACCUGAACCCUAACUGGACCUGUGCAUGGUUUUGCAGCCCAGAUGUGAAACAGGGAUCAUCCCACCUCACCAGCAAUCCCCCUUGUUUUAAACUGCAGUUAAUAACUGGCUGGGCUGAGGGAGCCCCCUUUAUCAUAGUUUACGUGCAGCCUACCCCCUGGAAUCUGAUAAGGUCUUUGGGUGCUGGCAGUACCAAUUUUUAUCCAUUAUUUUUUCUAUUACGGAUAAUUCCUUUCCACACUGGAGUCACCCAGAGGUUGGCUUGAGCCCAGCCACAUGAAGACAAAUGCCAGUGGUUUUGCCGGGUCCCGGGUGCCCUCUGUUUCAUUAAAGCAACAUAUUCGGGAUAUAUAUCUGUUGCCUGGAAGCUUGGAGCUGGGUGAAAUUCAUAGGGGUUUGUAAUGAUGACUCAAUUAGAACCAAAGACACAUGAGGGCUGAGGCUGGAGGAGGGCGGCGGGGGGGUGGCAGGGGCAGGGAUGGGCCACCCAGUUGCUGGAACCAUCCAGGGCUAAGUUGGAAUCCUGCCCUGCCUCUCCCCACCUGUGUGACCUCAGCCUGUGAUUUCUCACCUUUAAGGAAGGAACCUGCCUGACUUGCUAUCAGUGUUUAGAGAAUUGAAGGGGAGCUGAUUGUGGAACCUGCUAGACAUUUUCUGAAGCCUGGUACUGGGUUCAUCAUGGUGUAUAGUUAUCUCAAGGUACUGAUUCUCAAAUGAGGGUGAAUUUGCCCCCCAGCAGGCACUUGGCAGUGUCUGGAGAUAUUUUUGGUUGUCACAAUGGGAGCGGGGGUGCCAAUGGCAUCCAUCUAGUCAGUAGAGGGCAGGAAAGCUGGUAACAUCCCACAGUGCCCAGAACAGCCGCAUGCAACAGAGAAUGAUCCUGCCCCAAAUGUCAGUAGUGCUGAGGUUAAGAAACCUAUUUCUUGGUUUGGAAGUGGGGGCAGGGUCUCACUGCAUUGCCCAGAUUGGAGUGCAGUGGCACAAUCAUAACCCACUGCAGCCUUGACCUCCUG
rnacentral:lncRNA from 10 species